ensembl:lncRNA
ACUUACUUCCGUGGCUGGUACUAGUAACCACUAGGGACCUCAAAACCAGCACUUCCUCUAACUUUCAGCCCUUCCAAAGCAGAUUCUCAAAGGUCAGCAGUUCUACACUGACUCAUUUGUUUCUCCACUCAUUUAUUUUUUUUCCCACCCAUACAUUUAUUUACUUAUUCAAUAAUCGUUGAUAAAAUGCUUGAAAUGUACCAGACAUUGUGUUAGGCAUUUGGGAUAGAAGAUGAAGAACACCUGGCUGUGCUUGACAAGAGGCUCACGGUGCUUAAUAGAUGCUCAGUAAACAGAUAAGGAAUCCCUCUUCGAGAGGCCACGCUGGGAUUUCUUGCCGGGGGAACUGAAGCUCUGGGUGACAGGAAGCAAUGCAGAGCUCCAAGACGACGAAUGAGAAAGUUCCCUGAGUUUCAGAACAGAGACUGGAGGCGCCAUCUAGGAGACCCGCUGGACACUCAGACUGGACUACCUGUUAUGUCCCAAGCCUGGCUUCUUCAUCAUCUCAAGAUGACUACUAGCAACGUUCCUGGACUGAAUCUUUUUCAUUCAUGUCCAGAUGGAUAAGAAGUCACUUCCAUAGAAAAGUAAGAAAGUUUCUAUUCUUGCAAUCUCCAGCAAAUGUCAUCUCCUCUUGCAUUUUAUUGGCCUGGAGUUGGAUAUUUGCUCAUUUUGAACCAAGCACUGUGACCAGCAACAUGGCAGGGUGUGAUGACUGGCUUAAACCAAAUAGGGUUUGCCCUUGGUGAUGGCUGAUUCGAUGUAUCAAUUUGACUGGGACACAGGGUUUCCAUACACUGAUCAAACAUUAUUUCUGACUGUGUCUGUGAGGGUGUUUCUGAAGGAGAUGAAUGUCUAAAUUUGUAGACUGAGUAAAGUAGAUUGCCCUCCCCAAUGUGGGUGAGCCUUGUCUAAUCUGUUGGAGGCUUGAAUUGAAUAAAGGUCUGGGGGGAAAGAAGAAUUUGCUUUC